rnacentral:rRNA from 1 species
AAAAUUUUAAAAGUCGAACAGACUUAAUUUAAAAGCUUCUACACCUUUAAUUUAUUUUAAUCCAACAUCGAGGUCGCAAUCAUUUUUUUUAAUAUGAACUCUAAAAAAAUAUUACG